GAUGGCUUGGGGGUUUGUGGUUGGCAUAUAUACACUGAGGUUUAUGGAAUGACUGGCCAACAGGGACCUGCUGUAGAGCACAGAGAAUUCUACCCUGGAUUCUGUGAUAAUCCAUGUGGGAAAAGCAUCUGAAAGAGAAUGGGUGUGUGUACAUGUGUGACUGAAUCACUUUGUGGUACAGCAGAAAUGAUCACAACCUUGUAAAUCAACUCGACUUCAACAAAACUUUAAAAAAAUGAAAAAAAAAUCAAUUCAGAUGCCGUGUCUUUCUGUGACCGAGCUCACAUGGAUUUCACAUCUCCUCUUUUCACCAGGCUUUCCGUUUAGAAAUAUUUGUAUAAAGUGUACUUACACGACAGGUUAAAAAAAAAAAAAAAAGAAAGCAGCUGCCAAGUCAGUUGCUGAUACAUUAUUUGGAAACCAUGAAAAUCCACACCUUAGGGAGGCGGGCUGCAUCCCAGCCCAGGCUGAAGGGAAGAAGGGACCGCCUUGCUGGCUGCCUGUCUCCUUCCAAGGAUAGCAUUUUGGUUCAUGGGCCAGGUUCAACCAAAGAAUAAGCAUCCUACACCCCCCCGUAACUACUCAGUUGUGCUGGUAUAGCCAGAAUGUAGCCAAACUCUAGAUACACAAAUGGCAUUGAUCUGCAUAACCCAAAUGGGUGCGGCUGUUCCCAUAAAACUUUAUUCACAAACACAGGUAGCAGCCCAGGGGUCGUGGCUUCCAACCCCAUCCAAUGUUGUUGCAUACAUCGAGCUCCUUCCUCCCCAUCUCUGGUGAGUGUUCCAUGGCAGGACCACACCGGUUUACUUCUUCAUUGGCCAGUGAACAAUCACCAGGGUGGCUCCCAGCUCUUGCCUAUUAGGAAUAAACCUGCCAUGAACACUCUUGUAUGUGCGUUUUUGUAAAAAUGUGUUUUCCUUUCUCUUGGGUAAAAAGACCUACGAGUGGAAUUGCCGGGUCAUGGACAGGUUUAUUUUGACUUUUAUUGUUAAGUAGAUGAAAAACUUGAAAGAGUAAUUUUAAACUACCUUCUAGACCCCAGGGUUAGCAUCACCUCUCUUUCUCCAAGAAGAAAUGAUUAUAGCAAUGUUCUGUGGGGUUCCUUCUCCCUUGGACACUCCUUUCCAUCCACUGCCCUCUCCUCCGCUCCAUCUCCACAUCCCAGUGCUCUCGCCAUGCACUCCAGAGUGGCAUCCCUUGUGCCCUGUGUCUGCAUUUUAGUAUAAGGUAGUUUUCUCAUCUCUACUCACAGGUAUGUUCUUUCUUCCUAGAACAUACCUGGGUCUUUCAGACUUGAGGUGGAAAGAAACCAAGAGACAGGAGAGGCUACCUUCUCCCUGUGACAGAGGAGCCCUCCCUUAUCAUCUCUUUCUACCCCCCAAAGUUUCCCCAGUCCCUCCAAUAAACCAGCUUUUUCCAAGGAAGCCUGGAAUGUUGCCCCCGGAAGCCUGCCAAUCUUUCACCGACCUCUGAAACGCUGCAGGGAAUGUGGGCUCUACCAGUUCUGGAGUCACCUCCCCGGAGGUAUUUGCAAAUGGUUCUCUCCCCCGUGUACCUAGACAUCUCAUUCUAAUCUCAGCAUAUAAGUGAUUUACCCGUUUUAUUGGUCAGAUUUGCAAUUGCCUCUUUCACUUCUGGUUUAUAUGGUUGAGGUCCGAGUGUUAACUUUUAUAGGUUAAAUAUAAAAGACACUCUGUUCCUUCUUGUUUUUCUUGUCCUAAGAGCACAGCACUGGAGCAGCAGAACUUAAUGAAUCAGGUCUUUAGACUGACACCCUUAGCAGCACCUGCUGUCAGCUGGAAGUGACACUGCUAUAAACCUCCUACCCCACAGGCAAGCCGUGUUCACACUGGGGCCUUGUUAACUCACUACCCUUUAAACGGAUGAUAAACGUCCUUUUUUUAAAAUGGGGUGUUUUAGAUCAAAACCUGGUUUUCCAUGUGUUGAUACCUUCUGCACCCUCAGCUCUAAAUACGUGUAAUGGUAGAAAAGGGAUGGUGCCUGGUGGUUUAGGGGGCAUCUUUCUAUUAUAGCUGCAAAGAUUGUUCUUGAUCAUUCUUUUUCAGAACAUAUGUUCUGUCCAUGUUAUGUUGAUACCAAAAAUAAACAUGGGAAUUUGAGUCUUGCUUAAAAGUUCUGCAUGUGCCAGGGAGAGUAACUGUGUUUCUAGCUGGGAAACCAAAGGUCUGUGGUUAUGACUGGUCAUGACAAGUCCCAUGGUUCGACAAGCCAGUUGAGGAAGGCGUAGUUAUGAUAAUCCCUAUGAUUUGACAAGCAUUGCCUAUCACAACCCUAAAGGAACUGAGCAGUUGGCUUGACUUGAGGUCUUUUUUCUUAGCUGCAAAAUGUGAAAUUAGCUUCUUUGUUAGUCCCCUCAUGAAACACUGGUAAGAAAUGUGUGACAGUUACUUCUUAAGAAUCUUCAAAAUAAAGUGUGAUGAUUUUUUGAGAGACACUCUUUUGAGUAAGUCUGGAUAAAGACAGCCUGCAAGACAGCUAAGAAGAUGCUCUAUUUAUCCCGAGGCAGAAAAAUGACAGUACACCUUAUCUUGCUUUGAGAAAAUGCUCAUGAAAACUCUUUUCAUAAAAAUGUUAUUGUCAUACAAACGAGCAUGGGACUUGAUAAACAAAAGUGCCUCGAAUUCUUUCCUUGGUGCUACCCAAUCAUUUCCAGGAUGCAUAUAGAAUUUUAUAUAGGAAACUCCGUGGAAAUACUAAAGAGAGUAGAUUUAGUGAUUCAAUAUACGCAGAAUUUACUCUGAGCAAUUUGCUCAGGAACAACCAUAUUUGCUAAUCCCAGUCCCCCAAAUAAAUAUCAGAUUAGCACAUGAACACAGACAUACAUAGAAUAACUGGCCAAUGGGGACCUGCUGUACGGCACAGGGAACUCUAACCAAUAUUCCGUAAUGAUCUAUGUGGGAAAAGAAUCUGAAAGAGAAUGGAUGUGUGUAUAUGUGUAACUGAAUCACUUUAUUGUACUGUAGAAAUUAUCACAACUUUGUAAAUCAGCUAUGCUUCAAUAAAACUUUAAAACAUGAAGAAAAAAAAAAGAACUGCCAUAGUUGGUUAGUAUGUUCUCUGUGUCAGGCUCUGGGGUAGAUUAUUUUAUUUAAGCUUCACAAAAUCACAUCAAGGUUUGUGUUUUCUUAUUCAUUCAAUCUUCUUUCAGUCAACCAACUUUUUUUCCUUCUUAUAAUGCAGCACCUGUGGCAUAUGGAAGUUCCCAAGCUAGGGGUUAAAUCGGAGCUGCAGCUGCAGCUGCAGCCCAAUGCCACCGCCAUGGCAAUGCCAGAUCCAACUGGAUCUGUGACCUAUGCCACAGCCUGCAGCAAGAAGCCAGAUCCUUAACCCCCUGCUGGAAGAGAGGGAUUGAACCUGCAUCCUCAGACAACCUCAGGCCCUUAAUUCACUGAGCCACAGUGGGACCUCCCAGUCAAUCAAAGUUUUUUCUCAUUUCCUGCUCUGUCCUAAGCAUUGUUCCUGGCUGUUAGUGCACUUCCACAUCCGUCAAGAAACAAAUCUCUCUGCAUUCAAGGAGCUUACAUUCUAGUUGUGGAAAAGGGAAAAUGCAUAUUUAUAAAUCAUGUCCUCUAUUAGAAGGGGCUAAUUUCAUUUUGUAUAUCAAAAGGAUUGCUCUCUUUGCCUUAUGAAAGCUAGAGACAAGUAGCCAAAGGAAACGAGGGCUGAGAGCAGGUUUGGGGUGAAAAAUCUAGGACACUGUUUUGGAACCUGUUGAAAGUGUGAUGUAUAUUGGGCCUUCCAGGGGCAAAGUCAUGUAUGCAAUUGGAUGUGUAAGUCUGGAGUGAGGAAUGAGGGCUGGGCUGGAGUUUAAUUUUUAGAAUCACUAGGAUAUAGAUAUUAUUCAAAGCCUUUGGGCAGGUGGAGAUCAACAAGAGAAUCCUACAAAGAGAGAAGAUGCCCACGAUCUGGGCUUGGGGGGGACGGGGAUUGGAAGGAAAAGAGGUGAGGAAGAGGAGGAGGUACCAUCGAAGCAGCUGGAAGGGUUGACAAAGGAGGCGAGAGAAUAAACCAAGAGGAUGAUCAAGAAACAAGCUUAUUUAUAAAACAGAAACAAGCUCACAGAGCUCCAAGCCAGUCUUGCGGUUCUCAUAGGUGAAAAUGUUGGGGGAAAGUCGGGAUUGGGAGGGUGGGGAUAAAAUAUACACACUAUUAUAUAAAAUAGAUGACUAAUGAGAACCUACUGUAGCACACAGGGACAUUUACUCAAUAUCUGUAAUAACCUGCAUGGGAAAAAUGAACGGAUAUAUUUAUAUGUAUGACUGAUGCACUUUGCUGUACACCUGAAACAAAUACAACAUUGUAAGUCAGCCAUGCGCCAAUCAGAUUAAAUUUAAUAAAAGAAAGUAUGGUGGUUGGAAUGUCAAUUACAUGCUGUGACAGAUAUUAUUUAUCUAUACAUAUGGCUCAAAACGUUUACCAAUUUGAUUAAAUUUCAUAGAACUUGCAGGAGGUAGAAACUGGACUUAAAACCAGCUUUUGACUUCAAGUCCAGGUUGUUCCCUCCCAGCCCUGAAAGCCUGGAUCAGAAGCAAUAGUUUUCAUAAUUGUUAUAAAGCCACAAACACAAACACGAGAGAAUGAUGCCUUCUUGUUGGCAACAAGAAAUGUGUGCCAUGUUUAGCCCAGAAAAGUGAGAGCAAUCCACUAAUUUUUGAGAGUGAUCCAUUAAUGAUUACUUAAUAUGAAUACAUAUGCAUUUUUAUCAUACUUUAAAAAGGUUUCUUGAUAGUAGUUUACUGACUAUUCUAUCUCCUUUUUUUUUUCCCUUUUUAUGGCCACCCCUGGGGCAUAUGGAAGUUCCUGGGCUAGGGGUCGAAUCAGAGCUGCAGCUCCUGGUCUAUGCCACAGCCAUGGCAACACCAGAUCCAAGCCACAUCUGCGACCAACGCUGCAUCUUGUGGCAACGCCAGAUCCUUAACCCACUGAGUGGAGCCUGGUAUCAAACCUGCAUCUUCACAAAUACAACAUCAGGUCCUUAACCCACUGAGACACAAUGGGAACUCCUAUCUCCAUUCAAUCAAGACAUUUUUAAGAAUAUAUUUUAAGGAGCCUGAAAGCAAAGUUGGAGUUCUCACUACGGCACAGUGGGUUAGGAAUCUGACUGCAGUGGCUCGGGUCAUUGUGGAGGGGCAGGUUCGAU
rnacentral:lncRNA from 1 species